ACUUUCUUAGUAUAAUUAGUACAGCCGACUUCCAAUCAGCCAGCUCCAGUAAACCCCGGAAGAAAGUA
rnacentral:tRNA from 1 species